AGCUUUGCGCAGUGGCGGUACCAUAGCCAAUGAGGUCCAUCCGAGGCGUGGUUAUUGCUAGUUGAAAACUAAUCCCAAUACCCUGCGCUGACGCCCUUCACUGGGCGGCAUGCGCAAUUUUUGUUAGCUCCUACGGGGG
rnacentral:snRNA from 1 species